GACGAACGCUGGCGGCGUGCUUAACACAUGCAAGUCGAACGAACAGACCAGGAUUUUGUUGCGCUGUCGUGAGCCGCGGGCGGGUGAGUAACACGUGGAUCAUGUACCUAUAAGACUGAGAUAACUUCGAAAAACCGGAGCCAAUACCGGAUAAUAUAUUGAACCGCAUGGUUCAAUAGUGAGAGACGGUUGUUCUGUCACUUAUAGAGGGUUCCGCGCCGCAUUAGCUAGUUGUUAAGGUAACGGCUUACCAAGGCAACGAUGCGUAGCCGACCUGGGAGGGUGAUCGGCGACACUGGAACUGAGACACGGUCCAGACUCCUACGGGAGGGAGCAGUAGGGAAUGUGACGCAAUAGGCGAGAGCAUGACGGAGCAACGCCGCGUGAGUGAUGAAGGUGUUCGGAUCGUAAUACUCUGUUACUAGGGAAGAACAGAUGUGUAAGUAGCUGUGCAGGUCGUGACGGUACUUAAUCAAAAAGCAACGGCUAACUACGUG
rnacentral:rRNA from 1 species